rnacentral:lncRNA from 1 species
CCAGGAGGAAGUCCACGUCGCUGCAGCUGCGGCUCAGCUCCACCAUGAACGGGUAGAUCUGGUUGCUGUUCUCGCUGUCGCUCGCCGCGUACUCCACCACCACCAGCCGGUUCUUCGCCUUGCGCAGGGCCUCGUCGAACUCCGCCAUGCUGUGGACCUUCUGGACCCUCUCGUCGCGGCUCACCUUCUCCACGCCCGUCGCGGCCGCCGCCGAUUUCACGCUGCGGCCCGUCUGGAGCUUGCACAUCAGGUGAU